rnacentral:rRNA from 1 species
GAUGAACGCUGGCGGCGUGCCUAAUACAUGCAAGUCGAGCGAACAGACGAGGAGCUUGCUCCUCUGACGUUAGCGGCGGACGGGUGAGUAACACGUGGAUAACCUACCUAUAAGACUGGGAUAACUUCGGGAAACCGGAGCUAAUACCAGAUAAUAUAUUGAACCGCAUGGUUCAAUAGUGAAAGACGGUUUUGCUGUCACUUAUAGCUGGAUCCGCGCCGCAUUAGCUAGUUGGUAAGGUAACGGCUUACCAAGGCAACGAUGGGUAGCCGACCUGAGAGGGUGAUCGGCCACACUGGAACUGAGACACGGUCCAGACUCCUACGGGAGGCAGCAGUAGGGAAUCUUCCGCAAUGGGCGAAAGCCUGACGGAGCAACGCCGCGUGAGUGAUGAAGGUCUUCGGAUCGUAAAACUCUGUUAUUAGGGAAGAACAAAUGUGUAAGUAACUAUGCACGUCUUGACGGUACCUAAUCAGAAAGCCACGGCUAACUACGUG